AGUUGGGCCCAAGUCAGUGGGAGUCUCAUCAGUGGGGCCUGGCUAGUGGGGCCUGGUCAGUGGAGGUUUGGUCAGUGGGGUCCUGUGCUGCAUCUGUGAUCUCAAGUCUCUACUGGAAUUGGAUAGAGAUGGUGAAUUUCAGCCAGAGCGCCCAAAGAACUCGUGUCCCGCGCUCCUGAACGCCAUCAGCCGCCGCACCUCCAUCUUCCCUCCUCCCACGAGUCUCCUGCUCCCCGUGACUCUGGCCUCCUCGCAGUGUUGCUGGGCCACGUCAGGAAGUGCUGGAGGACGUGGCAUUGCACCAACACCAGGCGGCCAGCCGUGUGGCUCAUCCCGCAAAUCAGGCUCUUCCUGUGCAUGGAGAUGGAGUCCCUCUGGAGGCAGCCCGUGGCCCUGUUCUCGGGCAGGUGGAGCAUGGAGACGACUGGGAACUUCACUAGACACGCAUCCAGCCGGUUCAAGGGCUUGUCGCGCCGUGCACCAGCUUGCAGGAGAAAGCCCAACGCCUCGCCAAGCACGAAGGCCUCCCUUCCCGACUUGAUGAAGGCAGAGUAGCGGUUGAGGUUGCGGCUCACAGUGACCGAGCUCCUGCCCACGUGGGGACCCAGGGAGCCGUCGAGCUCCAGGUAUGCACCUCUGCCCAGUGCACCUGGAUCGUUCACCGUCAUGGAGCUGCCAUCCCACUUGUCGUCCCAGUCAUCAUCACUGCCCUAGCUGGCCUAGUUGCCACCAAGGAGCUGCUGAGGCCACGGCUUCAGGGCAUCCCUACCGCCUGGAAAUCCUGCGCUGGCUGCUGGAAGGCACUCUGUGGUGGCACCAGCUGCGGCUGCAGUAGCAGCUGGAAAGCACUGAGAGAUGGCUUCAAGGAGGCAGGCAGUGCACCGGGCAGGGCCUUGAAACCUCUGGGUGGUACAAUGGCCAUGGCACAGUGGGUCAAGGCACAGGGGCAGCCAUGGCGCGCUGGGCCAGUCCAGGGUUGCAGACCACUUGCACUGCAGAUAUAAGGCCAGGGUUGCUGAGGCCAUGAGCCCCUGCGAGUCAGCCCUUGAUGUCCUGCUCACUACACAGGCUCAGCACUUCAUGUUCUCAUAGAUCACUCUCAAAUUUUCU
ensembl:lncRNA LINC00905 long intergenic non-protein coding RNA 905